GACGAACGCUGGCGGCAUGCCUAACACAUGCAAGUCGAGCGAGUUGAUUUCUUCGGAAUGAAGCUAGCGGCGGACGGGUGAGUAACACGUGGGCAACCUGCCUCAUAGAGGGGAAUAGCCUUCCGAAAGGAAGAUUAAUACCGCAUAAGAUUGUAGUACCGCAAGGUAUAGCAAUUAAAGGAGUAAUCCGCUAUGAGAUGGGCCCGCGGCGCAUUAGCUAGUUGGUGAGGUAACGGCUCACCAAGGCGGCGGAGCGUAGCCGACCUGAGAGGGUGAUCGGCAACAUUGGGACUGAGACACGGCCCAGACUCCUACGGGAGGCAGCAGUGGGGAAUAUUGCACAAUGGGGGAAACCCUGAUGCAGCGAUGCCGCGUGAGUGAUGACGGCCUUCGGGUUGUAAAGCUCUGUCUUCGGGGACGAUAAUGACGGUACCCGAGGAGGAAGCCACGGCUAACUACGUGCCAGCAGCCGCCGUAA
rnacentral:rRNA from 1 species